GACGAACGCUGGCGGCAUGCUUUACACAUGCAAGUCGAACGGCAGCGCGGGGCAACCUGGCGGCGAGUGGCGAACGGGGGAGUAAUAUAUCGGAACGUACCCAGAAGUGGGGGAUAACGUAGCGAAAGUUACGCUAAUACCGCAUACGAUCUACGGAUGAAAGUGGGGGACCUUCGGGCCUCAUGCUUGUGGAGCGGCCGAUAUCUGAUUAGCUAGUUGGUAGGGUAAAGGCCUACCAAGGCGACGAUCAGUAGCUGGUCUGAGAGGACGACCAGCCACACUGGGACUGAGACACGGCCCAGACUCCUACGGGAGGCAGCAGUGGGGAAUUUUGGACAAUGGGCGCAAGCCUGAUCCAGCAAUGCCGCGUGAGUGAAGAAGGCCUUCGGGUUGUAAAGCUCUUUUGUCAGGGAAGAAACGGCUGAGGAUAAUACCUUCGGCUAAUGACGGUACCUGAAGAAUAAGCACCGGCUAACUACGUGCCAGCCGCCGCUGUAAAAC
rnacentral:rRNA from 1 species